rnacentral:rRNA from 1 species
AUUGAACGCUGGCGGCAGGCCUAACACAUGCAAGUCGAACGGUAACAGGAAGAAGCUUGCUUCUUUGCUGACGAGUGGCGGACGGGUGAGUAAUGUCUGGGAAACUGCCUGAUGGAGGGGGAUAACUACUGGAAACGGUAGCUAAUACCGCAUAACGUCGCAAGACCAAAGAGGGGGACCUUCGGGCCUCUUGCCAUCGGAUGUGCCCAGAUGGGAUUAGCUAGUAGGUGGGGUAACGGCUCACCUAGGCGACGAUCCCUAGCUGGUCUGAGAGGAUGACCAGCCACACUGGAACUGAGACACGGUCCAGACUCCUACGGGAGGCAGCAGUGGGGAAUAUUGCACAAUGGGCGCAAGCCUGAUGCAGCCAUGCCGCGUGUAGGAAGAAGGCCUUCGGGUUGUAAAGUACUUUCAGCGGGGAGGAAGGGAGUAAAGUUAAUACCUGUGCUCAUUGACGGUACCCGCAGAAGAAGCACCGGCUAACUCCGUG